rnacentral:rRNA from 1 species
AGAGUUUGAUCCUGGCUCAGAACGUACGCUGGCGGCACGCCUAAUACAUGCAAGUCGAACGAAGUAGCAAUACUUAGUGGCAGACGGGUGAGUAACAUGUGGGUAUCUUCCCUUUGGUGAGGAAUAACACGAGGAAACUUGUGCUAAUACCUCAUAAGUCUUUACGGAGAAAGCUUUAUGCGCCAUUGGAUGAGCCUGCACUUGAUUAGUUUGUUGGUGGGGUAAUGGCCUACCAAGACAAUGAUCAAUAGCUGAUUUGAGAGGAUGAUCAGCCACAUUGGGACUGAGACACGGCCCAAACUCCUACGGGAGGCAGCAGUAGGGAAUCUUGCACAAUGGAGGAAACUCUGAUGCAGCGAUGCCGCGUGAGUGAAGAAGGCCUUUGGGUUGUAAAGCUCUUUCGUCGGGGAAGAAAAUGACUGUACCCGAAUAAGAAGGUCCGGCUAACUUCGUGCCAGCAGCCGCGGUAAUACGAAGGGACCUAGCGUAGUUCGGAAUUACUGGGCUUAAAGAGUUCGUAGGUGGUUAAAAAAGUUGAUGGUGAAAUCCCAGAGCUUAACUCUGGAACUGCCAUCAAAACUUUUUAGCUAGAGUAUGAUAGAGGAAAGCAGAAUUUCUAGUGUAGAGGUGAAAUUCGUAGAUAUUAGAAAGAAUACCGAUUGCGAAGGCAGCUUCUGGAUCAUUACUGACACUGAGGAACGAAAGCAUGGGUAGCGAAGAGGAUUAGAUACCCUCGUAGUCCAUGCCGUAAACGAUGUGUGUUAGACGUUGGAAAUUUAUUUUCAGUGUCGCAGCGAAAGCAAUAAACACACCGCCUGGGGAGUACGACCGCAAGGUUAAAACUCAAAUGAAUUGACGGGGACCCGCACAAGUAGUGGAGCAUGUGGUUUAAUUCGAAGAUACGCGCAGAACCUUACCAACACUUGACAUGUUCGUCGCGACUUUAAGAGAUUAAAGUUUUCGGUUCGGCCGGACGAAACACAGGUGCUGCAUGGCUGUCGUCAGCUCGUGUCGUGAGAUGUUGGGUUAAGUCCCGCAACGAGCGCAACCCUCACUUUUAGUUGCCAUCAUUUAGUUGGGCACUCUGAAAGAACUGCCAGUGAUAAGCUGGAGGAAGGUGGGGAUGACGUCAAGUCCUCAUGGCCCUUAUGUGUUGGGCUACACACGUGCUACAAUGGUAUCUACAACGGGAAGCAAGAUGGCAACAUUUAGCAAAUCCUAAAAAGAUAUCUCAGUUCGGAUUGCACUCUGCAACUCGAGUGCAUGAAGCUGGAAUUACUAGUAAUCGUGGAUCAGCGUGCCACGGUGAAUACGUUCCCGGGUCUUGUACACACCGCCCGUCACACCAUGGGAGUUGGUUCUACCUUAAGGCAAAGUUUAAAACCUUUGACCACGGUAUAGUCAGCGACUGGGGUGAAGUCGUAACAAGGUAACC